ACCGCCACCGCUGCGCCACCGCAAAUCAUGACGACCACCGCCGCAUCCUCCCAGGUUCUCUCUUACUCUCGGUCUGUCUGUCAGUCUCUCUCUCUCUGGGGCUGUCGACCUCGGUCUCUCUCUCUAUCCCCGUUUCUCUAUUUCACCUCCUUGUUAGUCUCCGUCGCCUGAGAUCCAUCACCCACGGAAGCUCAAUGGCUACGGUGGUGAAGGAGCGAUUAGGGCCAUUGGAUCCAGUCUUUGCUCGUGUUGCUGAUGCCAUGGUGGACUAGAUCAAUCUAUAGAAAAUGGUGGCUGGGACUCGAUUAGCGGCUUGAGAUAGUACUUACUUAUCUCUUCCGGAGGGGACUGCUUCUGUGGUUGGCUUAAUUGCAAUGAUGACUGAUCACUACUGCAAUUUG